rnacentral:rRNA from 1 species
CACGUAGGGGGCAAGCGUUGUCCGGAUUUAUUGGGCGUAAAGAGCUCGUAGGUGGCUCGGCAAGUCGGGUGUUAAACCCCCAGGCUCAACCUGGGGACGCCACUCGAUACUGCUGUGGCUAGAGUCCGGUAGGGGAGCGUGGAAUUCCUGGUGUAGCGGUGAAAUGCGCAGAUAUCAGGAGGAACACCAGCGGCGAAGGCGGCGCUCUGGGCCGGUACUGACACUGAGGAGCGAAAGCGUGGGUAGCAACAGG